AUGAACGCUGGCGGCGUGCCUAAUACAUGCAAGUCGAGCGAACAGACGAGGAGCUUGCUCCUCUGACGUUAGCGGCGGACGGGUGAGUAACACGUGGAUAACCUACCUAUAAGACUGGGAUAACUUCGGGAAACCGGAGCUAAUACCGGAUAAUAUAUUGAACCGCAUGGUUCAAUAGUGAAAGACGGUUUUGCUGUCACUUAUAGAUGGAUCCGCCCCGCAUUAGCUAGUUGGUAAGGUAACGGCUUACCAAGGCGACGAUGCGUAGCCGACCUGAGAGGGUGAUCGGCCACACUGGAACUGAGACACGGUCCAGACUCCUACGGGAGGCAGCAGUAGGGAAUCUUCCGCAAUGGGCGAAAGCCUGACGGAGCAACGCCGCGUGAGUGAUGAAGGUCUUCGGAUCGUAAAACUCUGUUAUUAGGGAAGAACAAAUGUGUAAGUAACUAUGCACGUCUUGACGGUACCUAAUCAGAAAGCCACGGCUAACUACGUG
rnacentral:rRNA from 1 species